rnacentral:rRNA from 1 species
AGUGAACGCUGGCGGUAGACCUAACACAUGCGAGUCGAACGGCAGCACAGUAAGAGCUUGCUCUUACGGGUGGCGAGUGGCGGACGGGUGAGGAAUACAUCGGAAUCUACUUUUUCGUGGGGGAUAACGUAGGGAAACUUACGCUAAUACCCCAUACGACCUACGGGUGAAAGCAGGGGAUCUUCGGACCUUGCGCGAUUGAAUGAGCCGAUGUCGGAUUAGCUAGUUGGCGGGGUAAAGGCCCACCAAGGCGACGAUCCGUAGCUGGUCUGAGAGGAUGAUCAGCCACACUGGAACUGAGACACGGUCCAGACUCCUACGGGAGGCAGCAGUGGGGAAUAUUGGACAAUGGGCGCAAGCCUGAUCCAGCCAUACCGCGUGGGUGAAGAAGGCCUUCGGGUUGUAAAGCCCUUUUGUUGGGAAAGAAAAGCAGCAGGUUAAUACCCCGCUGUUCUGACGGUACCCAAAGAAUAAGCACCGGCUAACUUCGUG